CGAGGAGGAGGACGAGGAAGACGAGGAUUUGUGCUCGCUCAGCGAAACUCUAAUAGCUGAGUUGGCAUUGAGAGACGAGUAGACAUCACCACGUGACAAAAAAGAGAAACCAAAUACAAAAUAGUAACAGCCCUUUGCCGCAGCAUAGAUCCAUACAAGAUUCCAAGUAUUUGACAACAGUGAUACCUUAUCACAUGGACAGUGGCCCACCUGAUAAUCAAGCUUUACAAGUCCUCAUUAAGAUAUUAAAGGCUAUUAAUGAGGAUAGUCCAACGGUGCCCACAUUAUCAACGGACUACAUAUUGAAAGAUCUGUGCCCCACCUAGUGAUCCACUAGUACAUAUCCUCCGACGUGACAUCGCUCCGCUACGUAUGCAGAAGAAAAGAUUUAUUAAGAUGCAGAUUGCUCCUCUCUUCUUGCCAUUGUGCUUUCAGCCAUUGUUGUGCUGUGUGUUUAAAAUUUAGGACAGUAUAUAAGAUAGAAUAACAUGUACAUCUACGAAUAUAGCACUGCAAUGAAUCUUAUAUAAAUGAGCUCUCAUUGAGAUUUCUCUGUAUUUAUAACUCGACGCGAGAAGGCAAAAAUCAAUGUAAUGCCAUCUGUAAGGUAAUUGGACUCGUAUUUGCACUACGAGAACUCUUU